rnacentral:rRNA from 1 species
AACGCUGGCGGCAUGCCUUACACAUGCAAGUCGAACGGCAGCACGGGUGCUUGCACCUGGUGGCGAGUGGCGAACGGGUGAGUAAUACAUCGGAACGUACCUUAUCGUGGGGGAUAACGCAGCGAAAGCUGCGCUAAUACCGCAUACGCCCUGAGGGGGAAAGCGGGGGACCGUAAGGCCUCGCGCGAUUAGAGCGGCCGAUAUCUGAUUAGCUUGUUGGUGGGGUAAAAGCCCACCAAGGCGACGAUCAGUAGCUGGUCUGAGAGGACGAUCAGCCACACUGGGACUGAGACACGGUCCAGACUCCUACGGGAGGCAGCAGUGGGGAAUAUUGCACAAUGGGGGAAACCCUGAUGCAGCCAUGCCGCGUGUGUGAAGAAGGCCUUCGGGUUGUAAAGCACUUUCAGUGGGGAGGAAGAGGUGAUGCCUAAUAUGCAUCAUCAUUGGCGUUACCCACAGAAGAAGCACCGGCUAACUCCGUG